rnacentral:rRNA from 1 species
CGAGGGGUAUAGGCUUUCGGGCCUAGAGACCGGCGCACGGGUGCGUAACGCGUAUGCAAUCUACCUUUCACAGAGGGAUAGCCCAGAGAAAUUUGGAUUAAUACCUCAUGGUAUAUAGGAGUGGCAUCACUUUUAUAUUAAAGUCACAACGGUGAAAGAUGAGCAUGCGUCCCAUUAGCUAGUUGGUAAGGUAACGGCUUACCAAGGCGACGAUGGGUAGGGGUCCUGAGAGGGAGAUCCCCCACACUGGUACUGAGACACGGACCAGACUCCUACGGGAGGCAGCAGUGAGGAAUAUUGGUCAAUGGGCGCAAGCCUGAACCAGCCAUGCCGCGUGCAGGAUGAAGCAUCUAUGGUGUGUAAACUGCUUUUGUACGGGAAGAAACAGAGGUUCGUGAACCUCCUUGACGGUACCGUAAGAAUAAGGAUCGGCUAACUCCGUGCCAGCAGCCGCGGUAAUACGGAGGAUCCAAGCGUUAUCCGGAAUCAUUGGGUUUAAAGGGUCCGCAGGCGGUUUAGUAAGUCAGUGGUGAAAGCCCAUCGCUCAACGGUGGAACGGCCAU